rnacentral:rRNA from 1 species
UACGAAGGUCCCAAGCGUUAUCCGGAUUUAUUGGGUUUAAAGGGUGCGUAGGCGGCUUAUUAAGUCAGUGGUGAAAGCUCUAUGCUUAACAUGGAAAUUGCCAUUGAUACUGAUGAGCUUGAGUAUAUUUGAAGUGGGCGGAAUGUGUCGUGUAGCGGUGAAAUGCUUAGAUAUGACACAGAACACCGAUUGCGUAGGCAGCUCACUAAACUAUAACUGACGCUGAGGCACGAAAGCAUGGGGAUCAAACAGG